AACGCACGAGACCUGCGGACCUGCGGAGGGAUCAUUAAUGAGAAGCUGCCCCUCGUGGGUAGACCUCCCACCCUCUGUGAACUUACCUUUGUUGCUUUGGCAGGCCCGUCCUCUGGACCGCCGGCUUCGGCUGGCCCGUGCCUGCCAGAGGAUUCCAAACCCUGUCUGUCAGUGUUGUCUGAGUCUAUAUGAAAUCGUUAAAACUUUUAACAACGGAUCUCUAGAUCGGAAGAGCACACA
rnacentral:misc_RNA from 1 species